AAGCAUUUUCAUACCAUGAGGAGAAGCU
rnacentral:piRNA from 1 species